CCUACGGGAGGCAGCAGUGAGGAAUAUUGGUCAAUGGACGAGAGUCUGAACCAGCCAUGCCGCGUGCAGGAAGACGGCUCUAUGGGUUGUAAACUGCUUUUGUACAAGGGUAAACCUAAAUACGUGUGUUCAGCUGCAAGUACUUUACGAAUAAGGAUCGGCUAACUCCGUGCCAGCAGCCGCGGUAAUACGGAGGAUCCAAGCGUUAUCCGGAUUUAUUGGGUUUAAAGGGUGCGUAGGCGGAUUGAUAAGUUAGAGGUGAAAUGUCCGAGCUUAACCGGGGAAUUGCAUUUAAUACUGGCGAUCUAGAGAGUAGAUGAGGUAGGCGGAAUGUAUGGUGUAGCGGUGAAAUGCUUAGAUAUCAUACAGAACACCGAUUGCGAAGGCAGCUUACUAAGCUAUAUCUGACGUUGAGGCACGAAAGUGUGGGGAGCAAACAGGAUUAGAUACCCCGGUAGUC
rnacentral:rRNA from 1 species